rnacentral:misc_RNA from 1 species
AACGCACAUUGCGCUCCCGGGUACUCCCGAGAGCAUGUCUGUUUGAGAAUCAGUUUAACCUCUCACUCUUUAUAUUUAUUUAUAAAACAGUGGAUUUGGGACUAUUUUUCGAUUACGAAAAAAGACCUUUAAUUUAAAUUUGACCUUUAGACUUUGCUAAAUUUUAGCGCUUAACACCUAGAAGGCAUGACCAAUGGCAAAGAAGCAAUUCUUGACCUUUAGACUGCUGAUAAUAGGUUUAGUUAAUUUUUAACACAACUUGAAGAUUCCAACAUUAAAAAAAACACGGUUAAAAAGUUUUUUAAACUUUUUUUCCAAGACUUUGAUCUCAAAUCAGAUAAGACUACCCGCUGAACUUAA